GUGGGACCGAGCCUUUUUUUGCCGGCAGAGAGAGGAAAACGCGCGCGCACACACACGGUGAUAUCUUGCGGGUGAUGAAUAUGAUAAUUGGACAAGGGACGGACAGAAGAGCUCCUUGGCACUGGAACCCUCCUGGUCUGGUGAGGGAGGAAUGAGGAUACACAGGCGCCAUCCAAAACUUCCUAUGUUCAGAUUGAGGAAAGAGGUGGGCCAGGCCUUUGGAUUCUCAUUACCUAAGGACGGUUCUGACUGUGAGAGCAAAUCACAGAAGGACAACCUUGAUGUCACCUGUAUAUAGAAGAUGUAGAGCCAUUAUCUGGAAAGAAUCUGGAUUCCUGAUUCACUGCUUGGAGGAGAGCAGCCUGGGACAGCUGCCCAACCAGGAAUAGUCACAUUACACUUUUUGUGUAACAUAUA